rnacentral:lncRNA from 1 species
AAAGUCCAAGCACGACCGGGUAAAAUUGCCCAUUUUCAGAGUCUUUGCUCCGUUAUUGUUACACGACAACGAGCAAAGAGGGGCAGCUGUAAUAUCCAAUUUAUGCCCGGCCCACAUACAUAAAAUAAUAAAAUAAAAUAGAAAAAAUAAAUGUCCAGUUUCUUUACAAAUUCAAUCCAAAACAAAAUUAUUUUAGCCCAAUUAAAUUAUCCAACACCAGACCCAAAUAUUAAAAUCCUAACCCAAAACCUAAUUCGGCCCAACCUAGCCCAAAACAUUCCCCGAACCCCAAAACCCUAGCCUUCAGCAACCAGCAACGCCGCCGUCGAACCCAGGGCCUCUUCU